CCUACGGGAGGCAGCAGUGGGGAAUAUUGGGCAAUGGGCGCAAGCCUGACCCAGCAACGCCGCGUGAAGGAAGAAGGCCCUCGGGUUGUAAACUUCUUUUAUCAGGGACGAAACAAAUGACGGUACCUGAUGAAUAAGCCAGGGCUAAAUACGUGCCAGCAGCCGCGGGAAUACGUAGGUGGCAAGCGUUAUCCGGAUUUACUGGGGGUAAAGGGCGGGUAGGGGGGGGAGCAAGUCAGACGUUAAAUUCCAGGGGUCAACCCUGGAUCUGCGUUUGAAACUGUUUGUCGUGAGUGAUGGAGGGGCAGGCGGAAUUCCAGGUGUAGCGGUGAAAUGCGUAGAUAUACGGAGGAACACCAGUGGCGAAGGCGUCCUUCUGGACAUUAACUGACGCUGAGGCUCGAAAGCGUGGGGAGCAAACAGGAUUAGAUACCCGUGUAGUC
rnacentral:rRNA from 1 species